GUACUCGAGUGGCGAACGGGUGAGUAACACGUGGGUGAUCUGCCCUGCACUUUGGGAUAAGCCUGGGAAACUGGGUCUAAUACCGAAUAUGACCGCGCACUUCCUGGUGUGUGGUGGAAAGCUUUUGCGGUGUGGGAUGGGCCCGCGGCCUAUCAGCUUGUUGGUGGGGUAAUGGCCUACCAAGGCGACGACGGGUAGCCGGCCUGAGAGGGUGACCGGCCACACUGGGACUGAGAUACGGCCCAGACUCCUACGGGAGGCAGCAGUGGGGAAUAUUGCACAAUGGGCGCAAGCCUGAUGCAGCGACGCCGCGUGAGGGAUGACGGCCUUCGGGUUGUAAACCUCUUUCAAUAGGGACGAAGCGCAAGUGACGGUACCUAUAGAAGAAGGACCGGCCAACUACGUGCCAGCAGCCGCGGUAAUACGUAGGGUCCGAGCGUUGUCCGGAAUUACUGGGCGUAAAGAGCUCGUAGGUGGUUUGUCACGUUGUUCGUGAAAACUCACAGCUUAACUGUGGGCGUGCGGGCGAUACGGGCAGACUAGAGUACUGCAGGGGAGACUGGAAUUCCUGGUGUAGCGGUGGAAUGCGCAGAUAUCAGGAGGAACACCGGUGGCGAAGGCGGGUCUCUGGGCAGUAACUGACGCUGAGGAGCGAAAGCGUG
rnacentral:rRNA from 1 species